rnacentral:snRNA from 1 species
GUACUCGCUUUUGCAGCACAUAUACUAAAUGGAAUGAUACAGAGAUGAUUAGCAUGGCUCCUGUGCAAGCAUGACAUGCACAUUCAUGAAGUGUUCCAUAUUUUU